rnacentral:lncRNA from 1 species
AGAGUCCUUCCUUCUUUCUCCUUGGUACGGCACAAAGGUGGGUGAAGUGUUUGGGAUGUGUUUUAGGGUCAGAAGUUAUGGAAUUGGGUGAAGGAUGGGCACGGCAAAGGUGUAGUGAUGGCUGAAUGUUUGUAGAAUUGUGUAAGGUUGUGUGAAUUGGUGAAUGGUAACCCUAAGGCUGCGGCAAAGCUUAGUAUUUAUAGAACAAGGCUCCAAAAUAAUUUAGGUAAUCAGAAAUUAAACUAAAACUUAAAGGACAUAGGAAAUUAGAACCAAAAUACUAAGGGAAAUAGGUUAAAGGGUGCGGCAUGAGGAAAAAGGCAAGGGAAUCUGAUUUGAAUGCAAGGAAAUAGGAAAGAAUGCUCUCCCUUGCACGGCAAGGAAGAGUAAAGGGCAGGGAUUCCUGUCAAAGGUGCGGCAAAGGCUUAGGAAAGGGGUAAAUGUCCUAAAACUAAAGGGAAAGGUGAUUCCUUGUGCGGCAAGGCAAGAAAAUUGGUGGGAAGGUGCGGCUGAAUCCUAAGGACUAAGGGAAAGGGUUUUUCAAAGUCCUAAGGGGAAAAGGAAAGGUUUUUACAUGGUUUAAGGAUAGGGAAACAUAACAAGGGGAUUUGUUGCAACAAGGGAGACAAGGAGGGAACACAAAAGGGACAAGGCGCCACCUUUGUAAGGAUGCUUCAAUUUGUGUCUUUCUUUGUCUUCCAAGCUUCAAAACUGAUUUCUUAUGUCUUAUAACAUCUUUCUAGCCUCAUUUGAUCUUCAAUUUCGUCCAUCCUCCUUGCUCCAUGCAUAUGCAAUCCAUUCCAAGCCCAUUUUUGCUCCUGAAAGCUCCAAAAUGCACCUUUUUGCACACUUUGACCAUAACACCUGAAAUUGCACGAAAAUGACUUUAAACACUAAACUAACUAAGGAAAAACAACAUAAAUGCAUGAGAACAAGCCAAUUAAGUCGCAUAAAAAUGCUCCUAUCAGGUUUUGGUUUUGACGAAUUUGAAAACAAAGAAAAGAGAUUUUUAAAACGAAUUUUGGAUGAAACUAUGGAUAAAACGAUAGUUAGGAGGUUCUUCUCCACACAUGACACACUUGCAUACAAAAUGAUUUCCAGUUGCUUUUCAAUAAGCUAUGAAUUCUCAACACCCCAGAUUAACGGUGAAUUGCACUAAUUAACCCUCAGAUUUUCCAAAAGUUAUUGAAUUGGAUGAUUGCAUACGACAAUCCAAAGCAUUCCCCACAAGUUCCCUACAUGAAUUGCAUAAUAGAGAUACAAGUAAGAAUCAUUAAGUUCUAUGAAAAUCAUAAGCAUUGACGAGGCACUCGUUACUAUGAAUUGCAUGAAACUUAUGCCAAGAAUUUACUUAAAGCAAUUGUGACUAGCAACCUUCACUACUUGUGAAUAUAAGUUCGUAACGAUUAGGUGAAACUCCCUUAUAUUCUAGCAUCAAAUUCAUGCAUGAAAAUUAAGCGUGCACUCUCAACCAACAUACACAAAUAAGUUUUUAUACGAACGGAUAAGUAAAUUGAAUUCACAACUUACAAAACACAACUGGAUGUAAUCAAAUCAUAUUGCAAGCAUGAACAUGGUUUCGAAUCACCCCCUAACUAUGAGGGGUUUAGUUCCUCAUACUCACAAAACAAAGAUUAUUGAAUUGAAACAUUGAAAACAAAAGAAUGAAAACACCUAGAAACGCUCCAACAAUCCAAUGUCUUGAAUGGCAAGCAUGUCCAAGGGUCUCCUUCCUUCUUCUUUGCUGCGGCACAAGGGAUGGUUGAAGGUUUUUGUGGUGAUUUGUGGUGGUGGAUGGAUAUAGGUUGGUUAUGGUGAAGGGUGGAGUGCUUAGAAUGGUCAGCAAGGGCCUUUAUUUAUAGGGGAAGGAAGGGCUACCAAUUUGAAGUGGUUUUAGGGAAGGAUUUAUGUAGGAAAAGGAAUGCGAUUUUGGGUUAGAAAAUAGGCAAGAAAGGUGCAGGAAUUAAAGAGAAAAGGAAAGGGAAAUUCGGCAGAAAUUGUAGGACAGAUUUAGGAAUGUGUUUUGAAGCAUAAAAUAGGUAAAAAAAAGAUGUAGGGUGCGGCAUAGGGUUUUAGGGAAAAGGAAAUAUGUUUUAGGACAUAAAAUAGGAAGGAGAAUCUCUCCCUUGUGCGGCAAGGGAUGGAACAAAACAGGAAUGUGGUUUAGGUGUAGAAAAUAGGAAAGAAAGGUUGUGUCUUGUGCAGCAAAGAACUAGAAAGUAAAGGGAUGGUGCGGCAAUAUCUAGGGCAAGUUCUAGGACUUCUAGAAACAUGUAAUUAGGCAACCUAACAUGUUUUGAAACCCUUUUGUGGCUGGAAUAUAGGUGAGGAAGGAUUAGGAAACUUCCUAGGCAAGAAUAGAAACUUUCAAGAAUGGAAACCUCCAAGAAUAGAAACUUUGGUUUCCAAUUCUGAACUCUUUGUUCUUCAUUUUCAUUUCUUCAUUUCAUUAUUCAUUCCUAGCCUCCUUUGAUCUUCAAUUUCAUCCAUCCACCUUGCUCCAAGCAUAAGAUAUUCAAUUCAUGCCCAAAACUGCUCCGAAAGGCUCCAAAAUGCAUCUUUUUGCAUACUUUGUCCUUAGAACCUGAAAUUGCACGAAAAUGACUUUAAACACUAAAAUAACUAAGGAAAACAACAUAAAUGCACAAGAACAAGCUAACUAAGUUGCAUAAAUAUGCUCCUAUCAAAUUCCCCCACACUUAACUUUUGCUAGUCCUCGAGCAAAAUAAAACAAACAAAACACAAUCUAGACCUUCCAACAAUUGUCUUAGGGAUUUCCAAUACAUAUGACAUGCUAAAAAUCAUUACUUACACAAAUUUUAGUCAUCCUUACCCUCGAGCACAUACUUAAUCAUAGUCACCAUUCACUAGUUCGCAUAUAAUCCAUUAAAACAACAUUUUUGAAUGUAGUAACAUGCCUUAGAGAAUUCCCUAAACUCCUUACUAGAUAUGCACUCAAUUUUCACUCAGAUUUUCUGACUACACACCCUACACUAGGUAUAUGUGAGAAGAUUGAUGUAAACAUGAAAACUAGUACUCACAUAUGUUAUAGCAAAGAAAGCACUUUUCUAGAAUUAUUAAUGCAUGUAUAUAUAUGAUCUCAUGAACGGAAUGCUACUACUUAGAAGCGAGAACCAGUGAUAUCGUAUGCUCAUACCAAUUCCAAACUCCACAUAUUGAAAUACACAACCCUCAAGAUUGAAGUCAAGGGUUGUAACGGGGCUAAGGGUAUUGGCUAACAAAGAAAGGUAAGGAUAAACAAAGGUUCUUAAAGAAAUAAUAAGCAAAGUAAGGAAACUGACACUUAGAAUUCACUUUGAAUGCAAAAAUCAACUUUUAAACACAAGGGAAGAUUCAUGCAACACUUAGGGUCAAAUUCAAACUUUUGGACCCUUUCUUCAACAACCAACACAUGUGAGUUCAUUCUCACUUAUUUUUCAACUCUUUUUCAUACUUUUCACACACUUUCCUUCUUCCUUUUCUUUUUCCAUGAAAUUGUUUUUUAUGCCCUUUUCUUUCUUUUGGCACACAAAACACACUUUGAAAACCCUUCCCCCACACUUGUUUUUCUACAAAAAUUAAAAGGAAUUCCCUCUAAGUCAUGCUUCACUAUUCUUUAAGAACAAGGGUGUGGACAGUCCUAAUCUAGGCUAGGUAGGGAUAAAGUGGUUAACAAAGAAAAUAGGCUAACGAAGGCUCAAAGGGGGUUGAACCUACAAAACAUAUGACAAAAGGGAUAGGCUUUUUGGCUUUGGUGGUAACUAAACAACUUCAUCUUGAAUAUGUGUUAUGCACUCAAUAUCAUGCUUUGAAUGGAACGGGCAUGAGUUCUAGUAUUUAGAUCUAUAAUGAUGAAACGCAUUCUAAGUAGCAACCAAGCAAAGAAUGAUGAGAUCAUGCAACGACUUUAGAAAACAAGAAUGCAUAGAUUAAUAACUCUCCAAAUAACGUUUAGGCUUAAGUCUCACAAGGAUGUAGUGUUAGUUUGAGUUCCUUCUUUCAAGCAUGUUACAAAAACUGAUUUUUUUUUUCUUCUUUUGUGAUUACAUGUGAAUUCGUAAACUAUAACUACAACCAAGCAUAAACCAAAGAGCAUAUCAAACUUCCAUCCAUGUUUAUAACUUUCUUUAACAGUCAUGCACUUAAAAACCAAAUCCUCAUCAUUGUGUUGGAAGGUACCCUAAGACAUAAACAAACACACAAAAACAACUCUUUUUGGCUUUUUCAAAACAAUUUUUCAAAUUUUUAUCAAAUUUUCGGAUUUUUACUUCAACACACACCAAACAGCUCAAAAUGCACUAAAAACACUUAAAAACAGUGAGAAACAACUUUAGAGAGGAUAGGUAAUAAAACCCACGAAUUUGCAUCAAAAAUACUUUGUUAUCCCCCCACACUUAAAUCAAACAUUGUCCUCAAUGUUUUAAGCAUAAACUCACAGAAAGCAAACAAACAAAAAAAACAACUAAGUUUGAUAAAAUAAAGGCAGCAAAGAUAAGGGUUUAGGAACGCAAAUCUGAGUGUGGAGUGAAAGUUCCAUCGUUCCUAAGUUGAAUGCAUGGGUUGCCUCCCAAGAAGUGCUUGCUUUAACGUCUUGCAGCCGGACGAUGCUUCCAUUCAAACUUCCCUAGGUCCCACGGCAUGGAAUUGAUCCUUGAAUGGAAGGUGAUACUUGAAGUGAUCCGGCAAUGGUUUACAUUCGAGAGUGGGUGCCUAAAUCAUUAACAACAUGUAAGUAUAAAACGUAAUGGAAAUUGACUUACUUUUUCACUCCGUUAAGAACUCAAGGACGAACACCACUUCUUUGAAAGUUUCAAAGACUUUGAAUUUAGCCAGAUUUACUACGAUGGUUGAUGCAAAAUAUAUGAGCACACAAAUUAAACCCUCUUUUUAUCAAUUGUAGCAAAGUAUGUAAGUAGGGAUCGUUCUAAACCGGGGAUUAGGAGGGAUUGCUAAACACUUGAAAACUGACUUAAAAACAUAAAAACAAAGUUAAAACACUAAACUAGACUCAAAGAAUGCAAAACUAAAAUUUAAAACACUAAAACAAGCCAAAGACUCAAAACAGCAACUAAAAGACUCAAAACUGCCUUAAAAACACUUUCUGGGCAGUUUUGAACUCUAACACAAAUCUGAACGAAUUUGAGUUUUAACUAGAAUCAAAACACUUAAAAACACAAACCAAAACACUUUCUAACUAAUCUAAGACUUCAAAAUAAAGGGGAGAUUCGUUUUGACGAAAUUGAAACAAAACACAAACUUUGUAAUUAAAACAGAUUGUAAAACAAUUUGGGAGUUUAAAUGGAUGAUUGAUUAGUUAGAGGCUCUUUCUCCACACAUGACAUAUAUGCAAACGAUUCGAUUUCCAAUUAUUCCUUCGUAGAAUUAUGAACGACAUUGCCCCAAAAUAAACCGUGACAUCACUAACUAACUCUCCGAUUUUCCUUGUAUUAUUGGAUUGGAUGGCAUCAUUCGACAACCCAAAACAUUCUUCAAAGGUCCCCUACAUGACAUCAUAAUAGAGAUACGAUCAAAGAUCAUUACGUUCAAUAAAAACCAUAAGCAAUGACAAAGCACUUGCAACUAUGACAUCAUGUCACACAUGCUAGGAAUUGAACUUAAUGCAAUUGUGACUAGCAACCUUCACUACAUAUGAAUAUAAGUUUGCAACGAUUAUGUGAAACAUCCUUAUACUCUAGCAUCAUAUUUAUGCAUGCCAAUUAAGUGUCGACCCCUAAUUAACAAACACAAAUAAGUUAUUAAUCAAAUAGUUAAGCCAAUUGCAUUCACGAUUCAAGAUUUCAUAAUUGGAAUUUAUCAAAUCAAAUUGCACACAUAGUCAUGGCUUUGAAAUCACCCCUAACCAAUAGGGGUUUAGCCACUCAUGUUCAUAGCAAAACGAAAGGAAAAGAAAUUACACAAUGAAAUCAUAAAACGAAUUACACCUAGAAUGCACCAACAAUGAAGCUUGAACAUCCAAGGAUCCUUCCUUCUUCCUUCUUGCUGCGGCACACAAGGGGGGUGAAGUGUAUGGGAUUUUGGGGUUUAUGGAUGGUGUAGAAGGGUGGAAUGGUGUUUGGGAUGGAUGUAUGGUGCGGCUAGUAGUGUUUUUGGGCAGAAACUAUGGAGAAUUGUGAAGGAUGGACGCGUCUAGGAGUGGUGGCUGGUUUCUGGCGUGAAUGGGAUUGAUUGGGGAUGUUUGUGGCUGCACAAGGAAGUUUAUUUUAAAGGAAUUUAGGAAAUAAAACCCUAGGUUAAUUAGGUAAACAGAAAUUAAGUCUAAAGCUUCUAUAAUUAAGGAAACAAAUCAGAAAACUAAGGGAAAAUAGGCUAAAGGGUGCGGCACUAACUUAAAAUAGAUUAGGAAAGUGUUUAAAAGCAAGGAAACAGGAAAUAACUCUCUCCCUUGCACGGCAAGGAAGAGGAAUGGGCAAGGUGUGCGGCUGUGAUGUAGGAAAGGUUUAGGGAAAGGUUUAAAUGUCCUAAAAUUGAAGGGAAAUGGUUCCCUUGCACGGCAAGGGAAAGGGAAGGUGGGAAAGGUGCGGCAAGGAUGUGGACCAUGCAAGGAUUGUGUAAUUUGUAUCCUAGAAUGAUUAAAAGGCCUUCAAAGUUGCUGGAACAUAAGGACAAUUAGGAUUUAGGAAAUGUCAAACCAAGAUAGGAAACCUUGGCUUAACUUUCCUACUUCAAGUAGGAAUCCUUGUUGGAGUAGGAAUCCUUGUUCUUCUAGGAAUCCUCUUGUGAUUAGGAAUUCUUCUUCAAUUAGGAAUCCUUCGUUGAUUAGGAAACCUACUUUCUUCAAGUCUUCAAUUCAUCCAUUCCUUUUGCUCCAAACAUGUGAUCACUAUUCCAAGCUCAAUUUUGCUUCAAAAGGCUCCAAAAUGCAUCUUCUUGCAUCCAUUGACCUUAAAACCUGAAAACACACAAAAGUGACUUUAAACACUAAAAUAACUAAAGAAAUGUUGGAAAUAUGCCCUGAAAGUCAAUCUUUGGAAGAAACCUUUCAGAACAAAUGAAUCGAUGUAUGGAUGACUCUUAUACAUCAAAUGGCAAAGAUACUAAUUAGGACUAUCUCAAUAAAGGAUAUAUGUCCUUAUUAAUGAAUCCAUGGACAAUGGAUCGAUUGAAGAAGUAAUCUAAUGAUGUUAGACUACAGAGACCUUCUUCACAUAACCAUUAUGUCCAAAAAGGUUCCUGGUCAUUGGAUUGUCGGAGGGACACUGACAAUGCUUAGACCGGUACAUACUGUGUCUACUUUAAAUGGAAGAAUGGAAAGUCUCAUCCCAUUUGUGUAGUGACACUAAGACAAGUAUGUAGGUGCUCAU